GACGUAGGGCGCGAGCGUUGUCCGGAUUUAUUGGGCGUAAAGAGCUCGUAGGCGGCUUGUCGCGUCGACCGUGAAAACUCACAGCUCAACUGUGAGCUUGCGGUCGAUACGGGCAGGCUCGAGUUCGGUAGGGGAGACUGGAAUUCCUGGUGUAGCGGUGAAAUGCGCAGAUAUCAGGAGGAACACCGGUGGCGAAGGCGGAUCUCUGGGCCAUUACUGACGCUGAGGAGCGAAAGCGUGGGGAGCGAACAGG
rnacentral:rRNA from 1 species